rnacentral:rRNA from 1 species
CGAGUCUGCCUUGAAGAUCGGAGUGCUUGCACUCUGUGAAACAAGAUACAGGCUAGCGGCGGACGGGUGAGUAACACGUGGGUAACCUGCCCAAGAGAUCGGGAUAACACCUGGAAACAGAUGCUAAUACCGGAUAACAACAGAUGAUGCCUAUCAACUGUUUAGAAGAUGGUUCUGCUAUCACUCUUGGAUGGACCUGCGGUGCAUUAGCUAGUUGGUAGGGUAACGGCCUACCAAGGCGAUGAUGCAUAGCCGAGUUGAGAGACUGAUCGGCCACAUUGGGACUGAGACACGGCCCAAACUCCUACGGGAGGCAGCAGUAGGGAAUCUUCCACAAUGGACGCAAGUCUGAUGGAGCAACGCCGCGUGAGUGAAGAAGGGUUUCGGCUCGUAAAGCUCUGUCGUAGGUGAA